GUGGGGAAUCUUGCGCAAUGGGCGAAAGCCUGACGCAGCCAUGCCGCGUGGAUGAUGAAGGUCUUAGGAUUGUAAAAUCCUUUCAGCGGGGACGAUAAUGACGGUACCCGCAGAAGAAGCCCCGGCUAACUUCGUGCCAGCAGCCGCGGUAAUACGAAGGGGGCUAGCGUUGCUCGGAAUUACUGGGCGUAAAGGGCGCGUAGGCGGACAGUUAAGUCGGGGGUGAAAGCCCGGGGCUCAACCUCGGAAUUGCCUUCGAUACUGGCUGUCUUGAGUGUGAGAGAGGUGUGUGGAACUCCGAGUGUAGAGGUGAAAUUCGUAGAUAUUCGGAAGAACACCAGUGGCGAAGGCGACACACUGGCUCACUACUGACGCUGAGGCGCGAAAGCGUGGGGAGCAAACAGG
rnacentral:rRNA from 1 species